GGGCUCUGAGAGCUGCGGGGAAGGGUGAAGGUGGAAGAUGGAGGCCUUGUGUGGAGGGGUCCUUGGUAGAAGACCCCAGAAAAGGUGUUGGUUGAUAUAGACAGCAGGAUGGUGGCCAUGGAAGUCAGAAUCCGCUAAGGAGCAUGUAACAACUCACCUGCUGAAUCAACUAGCCCUGAAAAUGGAUGGCACUGGAGCGUCAGGCCCAUACCCGGCCAUCGCCAGCAGUCAAUGGAAUGCGAGUGCCUUAGAGGUCUUGGGGCCGAAACGAUCUCAACCUAUUCUCAAACUUUAAAUGGGCAAGAAGCCCAGCUAGCUCAGUCGGUAGAGCAUAAGACUCUUAAUCUCAGGGUUGUGGAUUUGUGCCCCAUGCUGGGUGCCAGAUGAAGAG
rnacentral:tRNA from 1 species